rnacentral:lncRNA from 1 species
AUCAGCAGGGGCUCCAGCAGAAAGUGCUGUUGCAGGAUCUCUUGUGAGUCCCCACCCUUGCUUUGCUCCGCUGGACUUCAAAAAGAUCAGGUAGCUGGAAAAUGAGUAAAUUUGCAUAAACACUGGAAAACCAAACCAACCAAACAACAACAUAAAAACCCUUUUCCUAUGAUUCAAUAUAUUUCUAAAGGACCUAGACCAUCUUGACUGAGGGAUGAACAAACGGCCAGCAAGGACAUCAACUGUCCCAUGUAGAGUCACCUCCUGAUGCCCCCCACCCCCCAGGAACCCAAGGACGCACCUUUUCCAGCCCUCGUGCCGGACAAGGUGCUUUUGUUAGAAGUGUCUAGGCUGAAAGAGUUGCCCCAGGCAGAGCAUGCUCAAGUCCCGGCUUCAGUACACAGUACAGCAGAAAGACCCACCAAGACUGUCCUGUGAAACAGGCUGAGGCAGGAGGAUGGAGAGCUGGAGGCCAGCGUGGGCUACGUAAGACCCCACAUUAAACAAAAUAAAACAAAAGGAAAG